UACGUAGGAGGCAAGCGUUUGUCCGGAAUUACUGGGCGUAAAGCGCGUGUAGGUGGUGGGACAAGUCUGCUGUGAAAGCGCCUGGCUUAACCGGGCGAGGUCGGCGGAAACUGUCACACUUGAGGACGGUAGAGGGGGGGUGGAAUUCCCGGUGUAGUGGUGAAAUGCGUAGAGAUCGGGAGGAACACCUGUGGCGAAGGGCGGCCCCCCUGG
rnacentral:rRNA from 1 species